UACAGAGGGUGCGAGCGUUGUUCGGAAUUAUUGGGCGUAAAGGGCGCGUAGGCGGUGCGGUAAGUCACCUGUGAAAUCUCCUGGCUCAACUGGGAGUCUGCAGGCGAAACUGCCGUGCUGGAGUGUGGGAGAGGUGAGUGGAAUUCCCGGUGUAGCGGUGAAAUGCGUAGAUAUUGGGAAGAACACCGGUGGCGAAGGCGGCGACCUGGUGAGAUACUGACGCUGAGGUGCGAAAGCGUGGGGAGCAAACAGG
rnacentral:rRNA from 1 species